GACGAACGCUGGCGGCGUGCCUAAUACAUGCAAGUCGAACGCAGUGGGGGCGGGUGAGUAACACGUGGGUAACCUCCCAUCUGAGGGGAUAAACCUUGGAAACAGGUGCUAAACCGCUACUGAUGGAUGGACUCGCGGGGCAUUAGCUUGUUGGUGGGGUAAAGGCUCACCAAGGCUACGAUGCAUAGCUGACCUGAGAGGGUGAUCGGCCACACUGGGACUGAGACACGGUCCAGACUCCUACGGGAGGCAGCAGUAGGGAAUCUUGGGCAAUGGACGAAAGUCUGACGGAGCAACGCCGCGUGAGUGAAGAAGGUUUUCGGAUCGUAAAAUUCUGUUGUUAGAGAAGCGUUAGCUAACCAGAAAGCCACGGCUAACUACGUGCCAGCAGCCGCGGUAAUUC
rnacentral:rRNA from 1 species